rnacentral:rRNA from 1 species
GACGAACGCUGGCGGCGCGCUUAACACAUGCAAGUCGAACGGAAAGGCCUGCUUUCCCUUGUGGUUUGCGGGUACUCGAGUGGCGAACGGGUGAGUAACACGUGAGUGAUCUGCCCCCAACUUGGGUAUAAGCCUGGGAAACUGGGUCUAAUUCCCGAUAGGACUGCAGGGUGGUGCCUGUGGUGGAACACGAUUUUCUAGUGGUUGGGGAUGAGCUCGCGGCCUAUCAGCUUGUUGGUGGGGUAAUGGCCUACCAAGGCGGCGACGGGUAGCCGGCCUGAGAGGGUGGACGGCCACAUUGGGACUGGGAUACGGCCCAGACUCCUACGGGAAGAAGCAGUGGGGAAUAUUGCACAGUGGGCGGAAGCCUGAUGCAGCGACGCAGCGUGGAGGAUGACGGCGUUCGGGUUGUAAACUCCUUGCGACAGCGAGGAAGGCACCUGGUUGGAAGGGUGGUGACGGUAGUGGUAGAAGAAGCACCGGCUAACUACGUG